rnacentral:lncRNA from 1 species
UACCAAAUAAGAAGGAAUCAAAUAUGCUGUAAUAAGAAAGGACACGCUUAAUUAAUAUUAUAUUGAAAAGUUGAUUUCAAUAUGCUUGUUGCUGUUAAAACACGCUUUCGCUAAAUUUCGUCAUGCGUAAGUGUGAUGACGUCAAUAUGUUUGUUACAAGGAAAAGAAAAAACGUUAUUACGUUUCAUUUACUGUUUUAGAUUAAGGGCAAUAAAAAUCGAAAGAACAUAUAGAAAAUCGCAUUUUACUCAAAAUCAAUUUAACGUCGCGAGAAUAAUUUACUUGGGCUACAUGUGGACGUUUAACCUCUUUCUGUGUAAACGUUAAAACAAGAUUUUCUACACAUUAUUUCUUAUAAAUAAUAACUAGGACAGUAAAUCAAUCUAAUAUCACUUAAUUACCAUGUAAGGUUUAUAAACAAAUGUAUAUAUAGCUAUUAAGACAGUUUUAACUACCCGUAUUUGAUUAAUGCCAUUCAGUUUUAAGUCUACGAUACAUUUACAACAAUGCAACAUUGUAGCAAAAAUUAAAUGUUAUUGCCUCGUUAUUUCUAUAUCGGUAAUUUUCAGCUUCUAGUACAACUUCAAAGUGAUCGAGGGAGAGUCAAGUUUGAAGUAUAGCCCAGCGAGGCACAACGUUGUUUAUUUCCUGUUCUGAAAAAUCCUACUUUGUUGUUUUACAAGUAUUUUACACAGUAUUUUAAACAGACUUAUAUCUUUUUUUAUAAUCAAAGAAACGGUUAAAAUGUGUACAGACAUUUAACCGAUUACAGAUGUAUAUGAUACCUGGUAACCAGCACCCCAUCCACCUCGGUACACGAUGGGGAGACGCUAUUAGACAAUAUCAGAUUAUCGUCCACUAAGAUGAGGUUUACUCAGUCAAUAAAUAGUUUCAGCUUAUAUGGUGUUUACGCUGCAUAUUGUGCAAGUUCAAUAUAUUAUUCAAAGUGUUUUCAGCAAUAACUAGGGCCAGAUAUUGGAAGGUAAUAUACCACUAAAUUUAUCAAAUGUUCUCUGGAACAAUCUGUGAAGCUAAAAUGGAUGUUUUUGGACUUCAGAUAUUAUUCUUAACUGCUAGCAUAAUUGCAAACUGUAUAAACAAUUGUGACUUGAUAGGUUUGUCUUACUGUGUUGAAAAGACCAGGAAUGUGAUUACAUACAGUCAACUUACAGUCUAUGAUAAUUUUGUUAAAAGCUUUAAACAUAUUCAGAAGAAACAGAAAAAUACAUAUGUUUAUAAUUCUAAAAGUAGCAACAGCGUUUCUUUCUGUUUAUUUGUUGUUAUAUGGUGAUAUACAUCCGUGCCGUGGUUCCAUGGCUAGUGACCCAGAAGAAUCUACAAAUAAAUUCCGUUUUUCUGAAAAGCGGGGACUUCAUUUUUUCAUCUUAAGCUACAUUCUAUAGCCAAAAUAUCGACAUUUUAGUGUUCGUCUUUACAACCAUUUUGCGAAUUAUUACUGAAAAGUUACACAAUUUGAUGAAUGAAACACCUGUUGAAAAUGACUAAGCUCUCUUUUGAAGUAUAUAUCUUGAAAAAUAAAUGUCAACUUGUACCCGAAAUUCUGGACAGAAGAAAGAAAAAAUAUUUUUAGGAGGUCAUGUUUUUUUCAAAAUCGAGAACUGCUACACACAAGCAUUAUUCUGUCUAAAAUUGUGACCAAAACCUACCUAGAUAAUUUAUCUACUUCCUGCGAGCAAUAAAUUUUUAAACAAAUUCAAUGAAAACGCCUGUCAGAGCCGAUCAUUUCAGAUAGUUUUUAUUUUCUCUUUUUUUUUUCAUGCUGACAUCAUCGUUUCACUACUAAUUUGACAUAAAUCUACGUAUUUAUGACAAAAAUCCAUAAUAUCAUUACAAGGGCAAUACACACAAAACUCGGAUGUGUCAAUUUUAUUUUUAGAAGCGGUUGCAGUCACAAAGUAAUUGACAGAAAAAUAAAUGUAAAUUUCAGCAUAUUUUUUCACACAAAAAUGUGAUAGUGCGUAGAAAUGUGAUCAGGCUGAGCACAUGGCCUUAUGGAUUACAUGAUUUUAGGCGCUUAACGUGAAAACAGUUGAAGAACAUGAUUCACACACAUUAAAUUUAUGCUUAAACCUAUAUUCGAUACAUUAUGCAUAUGAUUAUAAUUCACGAUAAUAUCGCUUAUGGAAGUAACUGGAAUAAAUUUGGACUAUUUCCUUCGGAAGUUUACAUGACUGUGCUGUCAAACGGCGUCCCGUGUGUUUACAUAAUUUGACAGGUCGAGUUGAUCUGGCAGGAACGAUAUCAUGAAGAAAGAAUACCUGCACCAUGGAAAUAAUGUCAUUUGUUAACUGUCUGAACCUGCGCAAGGCGUGCACAUUGGUCAACAUUUCUUUUUCAACAGGAAUAGCCUACAUGAUGGUGACCAACAACAGUACUGACACUGACAGAUGAAGAUAUAAGAUAAACCAAAGAAAUAAUGGGACAAUGAAUGCUAUAAUUGGCAAGAAGAAGACUGCCAUAUUUACACACCAUUGUAUACAG